UAGCGCCAGAACCUACGGGUUGACGAGGACGACAGUAAUCGAAAUUUCGGCGGAUGCUGUUGCGGACGUGUAUUCGUUAGAAUUAUGACAAACUUCCAAAUCAAGAUGGGAACAAAACAUAAUU
rnacentral:ncRNA from 1 species